GACCUCAGGAGGUCACAUCUAGUCCAACCCCCUGCGCCAAGCAGGACCCGCCCCAACCACAUCAUCGCAGACAAGGCUUUGUCUAGCCGGGUCUU